rnacentral:rRNA from 1 species
CCCGCGUUAGAUUAGAUAGUUGGUGGGGUAAUGGCCUACCAAGUUACGAUCUAUAGCUGGUUUUAGAGGAUGAUCAGCAACACUGGGACUGAGACACGGCCCAGACUCCUACGGGAGGCAGCAGUGGGGAAUCUUAGACAAUGGGCGCAAGCCUGAUCUAGCCAUGCCGCGUGUGUGAUGAAGGUCUUAGGAUCGUAAAGCACUUUCGCCAGGGAUGAUAAUGACAGUACCU